CUAAACGGCCGCGGUACAAAACCGUGCAAAGGUAGCACAAUCACUUGUCCCUUAAAUGAGGACCCGUAUGAAAGGCAACAUGAGAGAAAACCUGUCUCCUAAGGUUAGCCAAUGAAAUUGAUCUAUCAGUACAAAAGCUGGUAUAAUAAAGCAAGACAAAAAGACCCUAUGGAACUUUAACGAGUUGCUUACACAAAUUAAGCAAUAGUUUCAGUUGGGACAACUUUAGAAAAAAUAAACCUCUAACAUUCAUUAUCUCGACCAACAAGUCUCCAAUACGCUACAUAGACCCAGUAACACUGAUAAAUGAAACAAGCUACCCUAGGGAUAACAGCGCUACCUUCUCAAAGAGUCCAUAUCAACAAGAAGAUCUACGACCUCGAUGUUGGAUCAGGGUACCCUGACGGUGCAGCAGCUGUCAAUGGUUCGUUUGUUCAACGACUAACACCC
rnacentral:rRNA from 1 species